rnacentral:rRNA from 1 species
UUGAACGCUGGCGGCAGGCCUAACACAUGCAAGUCGAACGGUAACAGGAAGAAGCUUGCUUCUUUGCUGACGAGUGGCGGACGGGUGAGUAAUGUCUGGGAAACUGCCUGAUGGAGGGGGAUAACUACUGGAAACGGUAGCUAAUACCGCAUAACGUCGCAAGACCAAAGAGGGGGACCUUCGGGCCUCUUGCCAUCGGAUGUGCCCAGAUGGGAUUAGCUUGUUGGUGGGGUAACGGCUCACCAAGGCGACGAUCCCUAGCUGGUCUGAGAGGAUGACCAGCCACACUGGAACUGAGACACGGUCCAGACUCCUACGGGAGGCAGCAGUGGGGAAUAUUGCACAAUGGGCGCAAGCCUGAUGCAGCCAUGCCGCGUGUAUGAAGAAGGCCUUCGGGUUGUAAAGUACUUUCAGCGGGGAGGAAGGGAGUAAAGUUAAUACCUUUACUCAUUGACGUUACCCGCAGAAGAAGCACCGGCUAACUCCGUGCCAGCAGCCGCGGUAAUACGGAGGGUGCAAGCGUUAAUCGGAAUUACUGGGCGUAAAGCGCACGCAGGCGGUUUGUUAAGUCAGAUGUGAAAUCCCCGGGCUCAACCUGGGAACUGCAUCUGAUACUGGCAAGCUUGAGUCUCGUAGAGGGGGGUAGAAUUCCAGGUGUAGCGGUGAAAUGCGUAGAGAUCGGGAGGAACACCAGUGGCGAAGGCGGCCUACUGGGCUUUAACUGACGCUGAGGCACGAAAGCAUGGGUAGCAAACAGGAUUAGAUACCCUGGUAGUCCACGCCGUAAACGAUGUCGACUUGGAGGUUGUGCCCUUGAGGCGUGGCUUCCGGAGCUAACGCGUUAAGUCGACCGCCUGGGGAGUACGGCCGCAAGGUUAAAACUCAAAUGAAUUGACGGGGGCCCGCACAAGCGGUGGAGCAUGUGGUUUAAUUCGAUGCAACGCGAAGAACCUUACCUGGUCUUGACAUCCACAGAACUUUCCAGAGAUGGAUUGGUGCCUUCGGGAACUGUGAGACAGGUGCUGCAUGGCUGUCGUCAGCUCGUGUUGUGAAAUGUUGGGUUAAGUCCCGCAACGAGCGCAACCCUUAUCCUUUGUUGCCAGCGGUCCGGCCGGGAACUCAAAGGAGACUGCCAGUGAUAAACUGGAGGAAGGUGGGGAUGACGUCAAGUCAUCAUGGCCCUUACGACCAGGGCUACACACGUGCUACAAUGGCGCAUACAAAGAGAAGCGACCUCGCGAGAGCAAGCGGACCUCAUAAAGUGCGUCGUAGUCCGGAUUGGAGUCUGCAACUCGACUCCAUGAAGUCGGAAUCGCUAGUAAUCGUGGAUCAGAAUGCCACGGUGAAUACGUUCCCGGGCCUUGUACACACCGCCCGUCACACCAUGGGAGUGGGUUGCAAAAGAAGUAGGUAGCUUAACCUUCGGGAGGGCGCUUACCACUUUGUGAUUCAUGACUGGGGUG